rnacentral:rRNA from 1 species
AUGCACUUUCCCAGGGAGAAAGCUACCAACAACACUGCUGAGUACGAAGGGCUGCUUGCCGGUCUCAGGAUCGCAAUGGACCUUGGAAUCAGAAAGCUCAUUAUCAGAGGUGACUCACAACUUGUUGUGAAGCACAUCAACAAAGAUUAUCAGAGCCCAUUGAUGGAUGCAUAUGUUGAUGAAGUGAGAAAAUUGGAAGAGCUUUUUGACGGAUUGCAAACAGAGCACAUUCCUCGUGCGGAGAACACCAUUGAUUAUGAUCUAUCGAAGCGUGCCGCCCAGAAGCUACCUGUCGAACCAGGAACAUUUGUGCUCCAUUUGACUCAGCCAUCUGUUACACAAUCAAUGCGGUAG